rnacentral:rRNA from 1 species
GAUGAACGCUAGCGGCAGGCCUAAUACAUGCAAGUCGAACGGGGCAGCAAUGCCCAGUGGCGCACGGGUGCGUAACGCGUAGGCAAUCUGCCUACUCCUGGGGGAUAGCCCGCCGAAAGGUGGAUUAAUACCGCAUAACACUUUUAACCGGCAUCGGUUGAUAGUUAAAGAAUUUCGGGAGUAGAUGAGCCUGCGUGCCAUUAGCUAGUUGGUAAGGUAACGGCUUACCAAGGCGACGAUGGCUAGGGGAGCUGAGAGGCCGAUCCCCCACACUGGCACUGAGAUACGGGCCAGACUCCUACGGGAGGCAGCAGUAGGGAAUAUUGGGCAAUGGGCGCGAGCCUGACCCAGCCAUGCCGCGUGACGGAUGAAGGCCUUCUGGGUUGUAAACGUCUUUUGCCCGGGAAGAAAAAACUCUUGCGAGAGGAAUCGACGGUACCGGGUGAAUAAGCACCGGCUAACUCCGUGCCAGCAGCCGCAGUAAGAC